AUCUAGCUGACGAGUCUCAAAUAGGACGAAAGGCACAUCAAACUGGAU
rnacentral:hammerhead_ribozyme from 1 species